UAACACAUGCAAGUCGAGGGGUAACAGGGAAGAGCUUGCUCUUUCGCUGACGACCGGCGCACGGGUGCGUAACGCGUAUACAACCUACCUUUUGGAGGGGAAUAGCCCAGGGAAACUUGGAUUAAUGCCCCAUAGUAUGGGAAUAUCUCCUGAUAUUUUCAUUAAACAUUUAUGGCCAUUAGAUGGGUAUGCGUCCUAUUAGUUAGUUGGUAAGGUAACGGCUUACCAAGGCAGCGAUAGGUAGGGGUCCUGAGAGGGAGAUCCCCCACACUGGUACUGAGACACGGACCAGACUCCUACGGGAGGCAGCAGUGAGGAAUAUUGGACAAUGGGCGAGAGCCUGAUCCAGCCAUGCCGCGUGCAGGAAGACUGCCCUAUGGGUUGUAAACUGCUUUUACAGAGGAAGAACCACUCCCACGUGUGGGAGUUUGACGGUACUCUGCGAAUAAGGAUCGGCUAACUCCGUGCCAGCAGCCGCGGUAAUACGGAGGAUCCAAGCGUUAUCCGGAAUCAUUGGGUUUAAAGGGUCCGUAGGCGGGCAGUUAAGUCAGUGGUGAAAGUCUUCCGCUCAACGGGAGAACUGCCAUUGAUACUGAUUGUCUUGAGUUAUUAUGAAGUGGUUAGAAUGAGUAGUGUAGCGGUGAAAUGCAUAGAUAUUACUCAGAAUACCGAUUGCGAAGGCAGAUCACUAAUAAUGUACUGACGCUGAUGGACGAAAGCGUAGGUAGCGAACAGGAUUAGAUACCCUGGUAGUCUACGCCGUAAACGAUGGUUACUAGCUGUUCGGCCCGAUUAAGGGCUGAGUGGUUAAGCGAAAGUGAUAAGUAACCCACCUGGGGAGUACGUUCGCAAGAAUGAAACUCAAAGGAAUUGACGGGGGCCCGCACAAGCGGUGGAGCAUGUGGUUUAAUUCGAUGAUACGCGAGGAACCUUACCAGGGCUUAAAUGUAGUCUGACAGGGCUGGAAACAGCUUUUUCUUCGGACAGAUUACAAGGUGCUGCAUGGUUGUCGUCAGCUCGUGCCGUGAGGUGUCAGGUUAAGUCCUAUAACGAGCGCAACCCCUGUGGUUAGUUGCCAGCGAGUAAUGUCGGGAACUCUAGCCAGACUGCCGGUGCAAACCGUGAGGAAGGUGGGGAUGACGUCAAAUCAUCACGGCCCUUACGUCCUGGGCCACACACGUGCUACAAUGGUAGGGACAGAGAGCAGCCACUUCGCGAGAAGGAGCGAAUCUACAAACCCUAUCACAGUUCGGAUCGCAGUCUGCAACUCGACUGCGUGAAGCCGGACUCGCUAGUAAUCGCAUAUCAGCCAUGAUGCGGUGAAUACGUUCCCGGGCCUUGUACACACCGCCCGUCAAGCCAUGGAAGCCGGGGGUACCUGAAGUCGGUCACCGCAAGGAGCCGCCUAGGGUAAAACUGGUAACUGGGGCU
rnacentral:rRNA from 1 species